rnacentral:lncRNA from 1 species
GGGGCUGUAUGUUUUAUAGGGUAUAAAGUAGGAAAGAAAAGUGUCUCUCCAGCUGCUGCGUUUGCUACAGAGAUCAGAUUUGAUUGGGAGCAGAUGGAGUUUCUGGACGUGGAGGGCACAGUGAGGAGGUGGUUGUCUACGAGCCAGAAAGAGAGUCCUCGUGAGAAAUUGACCAUGCCAGCACUUUGAUCUCGGACUUUUCGCCUCCAGAACUGGGAGAGAAUAAAUUUCUGUUGUUAACCCAGUCUAUGGUAUUUUGUUAUGGCAGCUUGAACUGACUAAUACAAUACGCUUGUAAAUCCUGCCUGUCUCCAUGGGUGCUUCCUUCCCAUCCGCCCGAGGCAAAGUCUGUUUAUGGAGUUUUCUGUCUCCUACGUUGGAAAGGCAAGCAAACAUUUCUCAAUAUCUGUAAAUAUUUUCCUUCUGUCCACCAUGGAACUAAAAUCCUUCAAAUACUUACCAUACCUCUAUCCUCUUUUAAAUCCACCUUCUACCAAUACAGUUAUGUCUAGAAAGAAUGUCUGCAAGCUUGUGCCAGUUUUCAUAUAUACAUAUGGCAAAGAGGUAUUUUUCUUCCUUCUUUUUUUGAGAAACCCAACCAGUUCUUCUCUCAUACUCUCUAGUAAAUUAUAAAUUCUUUGAAAGCAG